GGGGUGUGUGUACGGGGAUGGAGGGAGGGAUCAGUAUGGGGUUAGAUAGUGGGGUGUGUGUACGGGGAUGGAGGGAGGUGUCAGUAUGGGAUUGGAUAGUGGGGUGUGUCUAUGGGGAUGAAGGGAGGGGUCAGUAUGGGGUUGGAUAGUGGGGUGUGUGUAUGGGGAUGGAGGGAGGGGUCAGUAUGGGGUUGGAUAGUGGGGUGUGUGUACGGGGAUGGAGGGAGGUGUCAGUAUGGGGUUGGAUAGUGGG